rnacentral:rRNA from 1 species
CCGGACCUGACUGCUAUCGGAUUGGUACUAAGCCAUGCGAGUCAUUGUAGCAAUACAAGGCGGACGGCUCAGUAACACGUAGUCAACCUAACCUAUGGACGUGGAUAACCUCGGGAAACUGAGAAUAAACCGCGAUAGAUCAUUAUGCCUGGAAUGGCUUAUGGUCGAAAUAGUUUACUGCCAUGGGAUGGGACUGCGGCCUAUCAGCUUGUUGGUGAGGUAAUGGCCCACCAAGGCUAUAACAGGUACGGGCUCUGAGAGGAGAAGCCCGGAGAUGGGUACUGAGACACGGACCCAGGCCCUAUGGGGCGCAGCAGGCGAGAAACCUUAGCAAUGUGCGAAAGCACGACUGGGUCAGUCCGAGUGAUUCCUGCUGAAGGAAUCUUUUGCUUGUCCUAAAAGCACAGGUGAAUAAGGGGUGGGCAAGUCUGGUGUCAGCCGCCGCGGUAAUACCAGCACCUCGAGUGGUCAGGACGUUUAUUGGGCCUAAAGCAUCCGUAGCCGGCUUUGCAAGUCUCCGGUUAAAUCCACCUGCUCAACAGAUGGGCCGCUGGAGAUACUACAAAGCUAGGGAGUGGGAGAGGCGGACGGUAUUCAGUGGGUAGGGGUAAAAUCCUCUGAUCCAUCGAGGACCACCAGUGGCGAAGGCGGUCCGCCAGAACACGUUCGACGGUGAGGGAUGAAAGCUGGGGGAGCAAACCGGAUUAGAUACCCGGGUAGUCCCAGCUGUAAACGAUGCAAACUCGGUGAUGCGUUGGUUUAUGGCCAAUGCAGUGCCGCAGGGAAGCCGUUAAGUUUGCCGCCUGGGAAGUACGGACGCAAGUCUGAAACUUAAAGGAAUUGGCGGGGGAGCACCACAAGGGUGAAGCCUGCGGUUCAAUUGGAGUCAACGCCGGA